UACGGAGGGUGCAAACGUUGCUCGGAAUCAUUGGGCGUAAAGCGCACGUAGGCGGCCUGUUAAGUCGGGUGUGAAAGCCCUGGGCUCAACCCCAGGAAGUGCACUCGAAACUGGCGGGCUUGAAUAUGGAAGAGGGGUCGCGGGAAUUCCCCGGUGUAGAGGUGAAAUUCGUAGAUAUCGGGAGGAACACCAGUGGCGAAGGCGGCGACCUGGGCCAAUAUUGACGCUGAGGUGCGAAAGCGUGGGGAGCAAACAGG
rnacentral:rRNA from 1 species